rnacentral:rRNA from 1 species
GUCUACGGCCAUACCACAUUGACAAUACCACCUCUUGUCGGAUCCUUGAAGUUAAAUUAUGUUGGUGCCUAGUCAGUACCAGGCAGGUAGACCACCUGAGAACACACAGUGACGCAGACU